GCCGGGCCUAGGGUCGCUCCCGAAAGGCGAUAAGCCUGAAUCGCGCGGCCCGGCAUCUUAAUCAGGC
rnacentral:sRNA from 1 species